rnacentral:rRNA from 1 species
UACAGAGGCCUCGAGCGUUAAUCGGAAUCACUGGGCUUAAAGCGUGUGUAGGCGGGCGGGCAAGUACCUUGUGAAAUCCCACGGCUCAACCGUGGAACGGCUGGGUAUACUGCCUGUCUUGAGCCAGCUAGGGGCGACCGGAACAGACGGUGGAGCGGUGAAAUGCGUAGAUAUCGUCUGGAACGCCAAAGGUGAAAACAGGUCGCUGGGGCUGAGCUGACGCUGAGACACGAAAGCCAGGGGAGCGAACGGG